CCUACGGGAGGCUGCAGUGAGGAAUAUUGGUCAAUGGGCGCAAGCCUGAACCAGCCAAGUCGCGUGAAGGAUGACUGCCCUACGGGUUGUAAACUUCUUUUAUAAAGGAAUAAAGUGAGGCACGUGUGCCUUUUUGUAUGUACUUUAUGAAUAAGGAUCGGCUAACUACGUGCCAGCAGCCGCGGUAAUACGGAGGGUCCGAGCGUUAUCCGGAUUUAGUGGGUUUAAAGGGAGCGUAGAUGGGUUGUUAAGUCAGUUGUGAAAGUUUGCGGCUCAACCGUAAAAUUGCAAUUGAUACUGGCAGUCUUGAGUGCAGUUGAGGCAGGCGGAAUUCGUGGUGUAGCGGUGAAAUGCGUAGAUAUUACGAAGAACACCGAUUGCGAAGGCAGCUUACUAGACUGUAACUGACAUUGAUGCGCGAAAGUGUGGGGAGCAAACAGGAUUAGAUACCCCUGUAGUC
rnacentral:rRNA from 1 species